CCUACGGGUGGCAGCAGUAGGGAAUAUUACUCAAUGGGGGAAACCCUGAAGCAGCAACGCCGCGUGGAUGAUGAAGGUUUUCGGAUUGUAAACUCCUUUUGUUAGAGAAGAUAAUUACGGUAUCUAACGAAUAAUCACCGGCUAACUCCGUACCAGCAGCCGCGGUAAUACGGAGGUUGCCAGCGUUACUCGGAAUCCCUGGGCGUAAAGCGUGAGUAGGCGGGAUAGCAAUUCAGAUGUGAAAUCCUAUGGCUUAACCAUAGAACUGCAUUUGAAACUGUUAUUCUAGAGUAUGGGAGAGGUAGGUGGAAUUCGUGGUGUAGGGGUAAAAUCCGUAGAGAUCAAGAAGAAUACUGAUUGCGAAGGCGACCUGCUAGAACAUAACUGACGCUGAUGCGCGAAAGCGUGGGGAGCAAACAGGAUUAGAUACCCCGGUAGUC
rnacentral:rRNA from 1 species